rnacentral:rRNA from 1 species
AUGCAGUAUUGCACACGUCUGAAGACAUUCGCCGACCAGCUUCGCGAUCUCGGCCAGCCCGUCUCCGAGACCCAGCAGCUCUUCAACAUGAUCCGUGGGCUUGGGUGCCAGUACCACGGCGCCAUACCUCACCUUACCUCGCGCGUGCCCCUGCCCAGUUUUCUGCAGGCCCGCUCGUUCUUGCUGCUGGAGGAACACCGUGCCAAGCAGACGACGCGCAUUCAGCACGCCCAUGCCAUGGUGGCCGGGCACAUCACGUCGUCCACGCCCCCGUCCGCCCCCAACGCUGCCCCGCCGGCCGACUCCAGCGCUGGCCGUGGGCGUGGCCGCGGCAAGCGUCGUGGCCGUGGCAGUCCGGGGGCGUCUUCCUCGACCACUCCACCGCCAAUCCGCCCGCCUGCUCUUCCGGGACAGGCCCCCAGCGCCAACUCCUGGACUGGCCUGGUGCAAGCCUGGCCCAUGCCCUGGCGCAUGCCCGGCGACGGCAUUCUUGGACCCCGCCCCGGCAUCCCUCCGCAGCAGGCCUUCUUCGCCGGGCCGGCUGCGCCAUCGAACCCGCCCGGCUACGGUGCCUACGGCGCCCCUCCCGGCUACGGCUACGGCUCCCCCGGCGCCAGCUCCAGCACCGCGCCACCGCCGGCGCAGCCCCAGCCCUGGGACAUGGGGCCACUGCACACGGCCCUGCAGGCCGCAUCCACCUCAGCUCCGUCUGCGGGAAGCACCUCCGACUGGUACCUCGACUCUGGCGCGACGGCGCACAUGACCGCCAAUCCUGGUACCCUCCACUCCCUUUCUCCUAAUUCCUCUCCCAAUCAGAUCGUGGUCGGCAAUGGCGGUCGUCUCCCGAUCACGCACACCGGCCACGGCUCUCUGAUCACCACCAAUUCUCCACUCGUUCUUCGCAAUGUUUUGCUUUCUCCCUCUCUUAUCACCAAUCUGCUGUCUGUUCGGCAACUUACGCGUGAGAAUCCUGUCUCUGUCGAGUUUGAUGAAUUUGGCUUCUCUGUCAAGGACAUCCGCACCUGCCAGGUGAUCCGGCGAUGUGAUUCCACUGGAGACUUGUACCCCGUCACGCCCUGCGGUGCGCCGUCCUCCUCACCUCCGUUCGCCGGUGUCGCUUCCGUGGAGUUGUGGCAUCAGCGGCUCGGCCAUCCUGGAGACGACGCACUUCGACGGGUGCUACACCAGUUCCCCUUCACCUGCGCGCCCUCGGCUCCGCCACCUGCCACGCCUGCAGACUAG